rnacentral:rRNA from 1 species
UACGGAGGAUGCGAGCGUUAUCCGGGUUUAUUGGGUUUAAAGGGUGCGCAGGCGGCACGGCAAGCCGGCGGUCAAAUCGCGGGGCUCAACCCCGCCCAGCCGUCGGAACUGCCGGGCUAGAGUGGGCGAGAAGUGCGCGGAAUGCGUGGUGUAGCGGUGAAAUGCAUAGAUAUCACGCAGAACUCCGAUUGCGAAGGCAGCGCACCGGCGCCCUACUGACGCUCAGGCACGAAAGCGUGGGUAUCGAACAGG